rnacentral:rRNA from 1 species
UUGCGCGCUGGCGGCAGGCCUAACACAUGCAGGUCGAACGGUAACAGAAAGCAGCUUGCUGCUUUGCUGACGAGUGGCGGACGGGUGAGUAAUGUCUGGGAAACUGCCUGAUGGAGGGGGAUAACUACUGGAAACGGUAGCUAAUACCGCAUAACGUCGCAAGACCAAAGAGGGGGACCUUCGGGCCUCUUGCCAUCGGAUGUGCCCAGAUGGGAUUAGCUAGUAGGUGGGGUAACGGCUCACCUAGGCGACGAUCCCUAGCUGGUCUGAGAGGAUGACCAGCCACACUGGAACUGAGACACGGUCCAGACUCCUACGGGAGGCAGCAGUGGGGAAUAUUGCACAAUGGGCGCAAGCCUGAUGCAGCCAUGCCGCGUGUAUGAAGAAGGCCUUCGGGUUGUAAAGUACUUUCAGCGGGGAGGAAGGGAGUAAAGUUAAUACCUUUGCUCAUUGACGUUACCCGCAGAAGAAGCACCGGCUAACUCCGUG